UGCUGACUGCAGAGCUUCAUGACUGACACCUCUCUGAUUCCAGCUGUGAACAUCAGACCAAACACAACUCACUAAACGUUUCCAUACUGAACAACCACAGCUUUCCCCUCUGUGAACAUGGAGAAACUGGCUGCAAUUCUGCUCUGUUCAGCUCUCAUAGGUAACAGCUUGGAAGAUGAUAUUACUGCCAUCAGUGCUGAAGUGUGUUCCUCAGAGGGCCGUAGUGUUACUCUGUCCUGUACAUAUUCAGUUAAAGCUGAAAACCUCCAGUGGUACAGACAGGAUCCUGGAUCAGCUCCUCAGUUCCUCCUCCUGAUCACUGACACAACACAGCCUUACGUGGUGGAAGCAAAACCUCCAAUCCCUCGACUGAAUGCCACACUGAACUUGGAGAGAAAUCAAGUGGAUCUGCAGAUCUCCUCUGCUGCAGUGACAGACUCUGCUGUGUACUACUGUGCUCUGCGGGUCAGCUGUGAAGAUCUCACUGCAUUACAGAAAGAAGAGUUCAGUCCAGAAGGCAGCACUGUUACUCUGUCCUACAGAUACUCCAAAACUAUAACGGCUAGUGAAGAUUUCUUCUGGUAUCGACAAUAUCCAGGAAAACAACCAGAGUUUCUUCUCUACAUCUCAGGAACAAGUUUUACAAGACUAGCAGAGUCUCUGAAAUCAGACACAACGUUCUCUUCUAAACUGUCUGCAGAAAAGAACAUAUAUCUGAGCAUCUCCUCUGCUGCAGUGACAGACUCUGCUGUGUUCUACUGUGCUGUGAGGCCCACAGUGACAGGAAACACCAACACUCUGUACACAAACACCAGCUGA